CUCUUCUAUUGUCAAGAGUGCGAUUUUCAAGUGAUUACAAGAUGUUUUUCGAUGUUUUGAAUUAUCAACCUUUGCCUGAACCUUUGGAGGCAACAUCUGAUGGACGAGCGGGAUUCGUGAAUCCAAAAAAAUUGGAUAAUUUUAAAUAUCGGGCCAAGAAAAAAGGCCUAUUGAAGCAGGAUGAACCCGCAAAUAUUAAAUUUGGAACGUCCAUAUUAAAAAAUCACAUUAAUCCUGCAUACAAACAAGCAAUAGAUAAGAUUCGGCCAUUUUACGAGAUUUCGCGCGAUCGCUUUAACAGUCAGCGAUUGGUAGAAGAUCAGGACGACUAUGAAAUAAAUGAUGACAUUAUGGGUCGUCCAACGUACAUCCGAUUGAAUGAAGGCUUCAGCAAGCGCGAAGGGUGCAUGGAAAAUUCUAACACCAUUGGAUAUAAUGUUAUGUGUGCUGAUAAUAAGAGAAAAGCAUUAAAUAAAGCCGGAUCAUUUUUCAAGGCCGUAUGGAAGCCUGUCAAGAAAUCAGCACAGAAAGUCUGGAAAAGCAUGAAAAAUGGACAAACUGAAUACAUUCAGUUUCAUUAAUGAUCUGUUUCUCUCAAUCAUUUGAGUCAAGUAUCCAUCUGCUUGAUUUAAUCCGAGUACUUCUCGGGUUUAAAAAGUUUUAUUUUUAAAAUGUGCAAAACAUUACAAAAGAAAUUAUUAAACAC
rnacentral:misc_RNA from 1 species